ensembl:snRNA U6 U6 spliceosomal RNA
GUGCUUGUUUCAGCAGUGCACAUACUAAAAUUGGAACAGUACAGAUAAGAUUAGUUUGGCCUCUGUACAAGGAUGACAGACAAAUUCAUGAAAUAUUCCAUAUUUUU